GGAUUAGAUACCCUGGUAGUCCACGCCGUAAACGAUGAUAACUAGCUGUCCGGACACUUGGUGUUUGGGUGGCGCAGCUAACGCAUUAAGUUAUCCGCCUGGGGAGUACGGUCGCAAGAUUAAAACUCAAAGGAAUUGACGGGGGCCUGCACAAGCGGUGGAGCAUGUGGUUUAAUUCGAAGCAACGCGCAGAACCUUACCAGCGUUUGACAUCCCGCGCUAUCACAAGAGAUUGUGAGUUCCCUUCGGGGACGCGGUGACAGGUGCUGCAUGGCUGUCGUCAGCUCGUGCCG
rnacentral:rRNA from 1 species